AACGAACGCUGGCGGCAGGCUUAACACAUGCAAGUCGAACGGUCUCUUCGGAGGCAGUGGCAGACGGGUGAGUAACGCGUGGGAAUCUACCUAGUUCUACGGAACAACAGAGGGAAACUUCUGCUAAUACCGUAUACGCCCUAUGGGGGAAAGAUUUAUCGGAAUUAGAUGAGCCCGCGUAAGAUUAGCUAGUUGGUGGG
rnacentral:rRNA from 1 species